rnacentral:piRNA from 1 species
UGGGAUUGCUUCUCCUGUUCCAUUUGGGCAU